GCAUUUAAUACUUGCAGAUUGGCUUUUUCAUUUGAAAAUUUUGAAAAACAAAAAUGCCUCUAUUUUUUAGAAAAAAAUUAUGACAUCCUGUGUAUAUUAUAGAUGCAGGAUGUCAUGAUAUGAUAUAGAAUGUCAUAAUUUUUCAAAGAACAGAUGCAUUUUCGUCAUACAAAAUUUUUAUAAAAAAAAUCAACCUGCAGGAAUUAAAUGUGCAUUGGAAAGUGAUGACUACGUGGACC
rnacentral:lncRNA from 1 species